CUCGCGUUAUUUAACUUGGGGUGAAGUGACGGGUUUCCGAGAAAUGUAAGCCCGAAAGCUAGGUUUCGGUCGUGAGCCAUGCGGAAGAAGUCUGCAUCGAAACGGGAGCCGGAUUCUGCUGCGACUGAGGACGGCAAUACCGACAUGCAGUAAAGAGGAUGGCACCAGUGUAAAGCAGCACUCCAUACACCAAAGACAAGCUACUUCCUGCUACAACAAGGCCAUUGUGUGGACUUUGGCUGUUACUACAAGAAUCUGCACCAAGCACACCAUGGUCCUCAUCACAGGAGCCCCCAUCUACCCUGACAGGAAGGGGCUGGAGCCGAAUUUACAAGGAUUUUACACCACAAACAAAGAAGCGGAUGCAGAAGUAUUUGGAUGAGAUAUCAAGUCUACGGAGGACUGUGUCAAGACUGAAAAGAGCCUCAGCCAUCAUUCCACCGGCACGGAUAUUGGCCGAGUCAUCCAGGU